UCUCUGUCUUUUUGGUUCUCCAUUCAUUUUUAUUCUUCGUGUUUUCCCUUUAAAGUCUUCUGUGAUUUCAGGGGUUUGGUUUUUGUGUGCAUAGUGAAUCUAAGUGAUUCUUAGUGAGAAAAAUGGUUGGUAUUGGUUGGGUGGUUCUUGGCCCAUCGAAGUAGCUGCGUUUGGUCCUUUGUGUGUUAGGUUUUGUGGCUUUAUAUUUGUAUAGAACGGUACAAUGUUUUUGAGCCAAAAAUCGAUAAACUCUUUGAUGUCGAUGUUCGAUUUGGCUCUAAAAC
rnacentral:lncRNA from 1 species